GUCCUUGUAAUGCAAUGGAUAGCUAAUUGAACUUCUAAUCCAAAAGUCGUGGGUUCGAAUACCACCUGGGGUG